rnacentral:rRNA from 1 species
UACGUAGGCAGCAAGCGUUGUUCGGAAUUACUGGGCGUAAAGAGUGUGUAGGCGGUGCUCUAAGUUCGGUGUGAAAUCUCCCGGCUCAACUGGGAGGGUGCGCCGGAAACUGGAAAUGCUUGAGCGUGGGAGAGGAAAGCGGAAUUCCUGGUGUAGCGGUGAAAUGCGUAGAUAUCAGGAGGAACACCUGCGGUGUAGACGGCUUUCUGGACCAUUGCUGACGCUGAGACACGAAAGCGUGGGUAGCAAACAGG